GAUUCGUCACACUAUCAUUAACUGAAUCCAUAGGUUAAUGAGGCGAACCGGGGGAACUGAAACAUCUAAGUACCCCGAGGAAAAGAAAUCAACCGAGAUUCCCCCAGUAGCGGCGAGCGAACGGGGAGGAGCCCAGAGCCUGAAUCAGCAUGUGUGUUAGUGGAAGCGUCUGGAAAGGCGCGCGAUACAGGGUGACAGCCCCGUACACAAAAGCGCAUGUGCUGUGAGCUCGAUGAGUAGGGCGGGACACGUGGUAUCCUGUCUGAAUAUGGGGGGACCAUCCUCCAAGGCUAAAUACUCCUGACUGACCGAUAGUGAACCAGUACCGUGAGGGAAAGGCGAAAAGAACCCCGGCGAGGGGAGUGAAAAAGAACCUGAAACCGUGUACGUACAAGCAGUGGGAGCACCCUUCGGGGUGUGACUGCGUACCUUUUGUAUAAUGGGUCAGCGACUUAUAUUCUGUAGCAAGGUUAACCGUAUAGGGGAGCCGGAGGGAAACCGAGUCUUAACCGGGCGUUAAGUUGCAGGGUAUAGACCCGAAACCCGGUGAUCUAGCCAUGGGCAGGUUGAAGGUUGGGUAACACUAACUGGAGGACCGAACCGACUAAUGUUGAAAAAUUAGCGGAUGACCUGUGGCUGGGGGUGAAAGGCCAAUCAAACCGGGAGAUAGCUGGUUCUCCCCGAAAGCUAUUUAGGUAGCGCCUCGUGAAUUCAUCUCCGGGGGUAGAGCACUGUUUCGGCUAGGGGGCCAUCCCGGCUUACCAACCCGAUGCAAACUGCGAAUACCGGAGAAUGUUAUCACGGGAGACACACGGCGGGUGCUAACGUCCGUCGUGAAGAGGGAAACAACCCAGACCGCCAGCUAAGGUCCCAAAGUCAUGGUUAAGUGGGAAACGAUGUGGGAAGGCCCAGACAGCCAGGAUGUUGGCUUAGAAGCAGCCAUCAUUUAAAGAAAGCGUAAUAGCUCACUGGUCGAGUCGGCCUGCGCGGAAGAUGUAACGGGGCUAAACCAUGCACCGAAGCUGCGGCAGCGAACGUAUCACCCAAGACAACUUUACGGAGUUGACGAUUGACGGAGCGAAGCGACGUCAAAGCGUUCAUUAAAGUCGAGUUGGCUUAGGGAUACGUUCGUUGGGUAGGGGAGCGUUCUGUAAGCCUGUGAAGGUGUGUCGUGAGGCAUGCUGGAGGUAUCAGAAGUGCGAAUGCUGACAUAAGUAACGAUAAAGCGGGUGAAAAGCCCGCUCGCCGGAAGACCAAGGGUUCCUGUCCAACGUUAAUCGGGGCAGGGUGAGUCGACCCCUAAGGCGAGGCCGAAAGGCGUAGUCGAUGGGAAACGGGUUAAUAUUCCCGUACUUGGUGUUACUGCGAAGGGGGGACGGAGAAGGCUAUGUUGGCCGGGCGACGGUUGUCCCGGUUUAAGCGUGUAGGUGUGUGUUCCAGGUAAAUCCGGUUCACUUUAACACUGAGGCGUGACGACGAGGCACUACGGUGCUGAAGCAACAAAUGCCCUGCUUCCAGGAAAAGCCUCUAAGCAUCAGGUAACACGAAAUCGUACCCCAAACCGACACAGGUGGUCAGGUAGAGAAUACCAAGGCGCUUGAGAGAACUCGGGUGAAGGAACUAGGCAAAAUGGUGCCGUAACUUCGGGAGAAGGCACGCUGACACGUAGGUGAAGUGAUUUACUCAUGGAGCUGAAGUCAGUCGAAGAUACCAGCUGGCUGCAACUGUUUAUUAAAAACACAGCACUGUGCAAACACGAAAGUGGACGUAUACGGUGUGACGCCUGCCCGGUGCCGGAAGGUUAAUUGAUGGGGUCAGCGCAAGCGAAGCUCCUGAUCGAAGCCCCGGUAAACGGCGGCCGUAACUAUAACGGUCCUAAGGUAGCGAAAUUCCUUGUCGGGUAAGUUCCGACCUGCACGAAUGGCGUAAUGAUGGCCAGGCUGUCUCCACCCGAGACUCAGUGAAAUUGAACUCGCUGUGAAGAUGCAGUGUACCCGCGGCAAGACGGAAAGACCCCGUGAACCUUUACUAUAGCUUGACACUGAACAUUGAGCCUUGAUGUGUAGGAUAGGUGGGAGGCUUUGAAGUGUGGACGCCAGUCUGCAUGGAGCCGACCUUGAAAUACCACCCUUUAAUGUUUGAUGUUCUAACGUGGACCCGUAAUCCGGGUUGCGGACAGUGUCUGGUGGGUAGUUUGACUGGGGCGGUCUCCUCCUAAAGAGUAACGGAGGAGCACGAAGGUUGGCUAAUCCUGGUCGGACAUCAGGAGGUUAGUGCAAUGGCAUAAGCCAGCUUGACUGCGAGCGUGACGGCGCGAGCAGGUGCGAAAGCAGGUCAUAGUGAUCCGGUGGUUCUGAAUGGAAGGGCCAUCGCUCAACGGAUAAAAGGUACUCCGGGGAUAACAGGCUGAUACCGCCCAAGAGUUCAUAUCGACGGCGGUGUUUGGCACCUCGAUGUCGGCUCAUCACAUCCUGGGGCUGAAGUAGGUCCCAAGGGUAUGGCUGUUCGCCAUUUAAAGUGGUACGCGAGCUGGGUUUAGAACGUCGUGAGACAGUUCGGUCCCUAUCUGCCGUGGGCGCUGGAGAACUGAGGGGGGCUGCUCCUAGUACGAGAGGACCGGAGUGGACGCAUCACUGGUGUUCGGGUUGUCAUGCCAAUGGCACUGCCCGGUAGCUAAAUGCGGAAGAGAUAAGUGCUGAAAGCAUCUAAGCACGAAACUUGCCCCGAGAUGAGUUCUCCCUGAGACUUAGAGUCUCCUGAAGGAACGUUGAAGACGACGACGUUGAUAGG
rnacentral:rRNA from 1 species